rnacentral:ribozyme from 14 species
ACAACAACAACACAAAAACGAAACACACAACCUUUCUCUGUUUUUUCUCUCUUUCUUCUUCUUCUUCAUCUUGCUCUUUUCCU